rnacentral:rRNA from 1 species
GGGCCCGCACAAGCGGUGGAGCAUGUGGUUUAAUUCGAUGAUACGCGAGGAACCUUACCAGGGCUUAAAUGUAGGUUGCAUGAUCUAGAGAUAGAUCUUUCUUCGGACUACCUACAAGGUGCUGCAUGGUUGUCGUCAGCUCGUGCCGUGAGGUGUCAGGUUAAGUCCUAUAACGAGCGCAACCCCUGUCGUUAGUUACCAGCAAUUAAAGUUGGGUACUCUAGCGAGACUGCCGGUGCAAACCGUGAGGAAGGGUGGGGAUGACGUCAAAUCAUCACGGCCCUUACGUCCUGGGCUACACACGUGCUACAAUGGCCGGUACAGAGAGCAGCCACUACGCGAGUAGGAGCUAAUCUUCAAAGCUGAUCUCAGUUCGGAUCGGAGUCUGCAACUCGACUCCGUGAAGCUGGAAUC